rnacentral:rRNA from 1 species
GACGAACGCUGGCGGCGUGCCUAAUACAUGCAAGUAGAACGCUGAAGGAGGAGCUUGCUUCUCCGGAUGAGUUGCGAACGGGUGAGUAACGCGUAGGUAACCUGCCUGGUAGCGGGGGAUAACUAUUGGAAACGAUAGCUGAUACCGCAUAAGAGUAGAUGUUGCAUGACAUUUGCUUAAAAGGUGCAAUUGCAUCACUACCAGAUGGACCUGCGUUGUAUUAGCUAGUUGGUGGGGUAACGGCUCACCAAGGCGACGAUACAUAGCCGACCUGAGAGGGUGAUCGGCCACACUGGGACUGAGACACGGCCCAGACUCCUACGGGAGGCAGCAGUAGGGAAUCUUCGGCAAUGGACGGAAGUCUGACCGAGCAACGCCGCGUGAGUGAAGAAGGUUUUCGGAUCGUAAAGCUCUGUUGUAAGAGAAGAACGAGUGUGAGAGUGGAAAGUUCACACUGUGACGGUAUUUUACCAGAAAGGGACGGCUAACUACGUG